GGGGUUGUGGCUCAGUGGUAGAGCGCUUGCCUAGCAUGUGUGAGGCCCUGAGUUCGAUCCUCAGCACCACG
rnacentral:tRNA from 1 species